rnacentral:rRNA from 1 species
CCUACGGGUGGCAGCAGUAGGGAAUCUUCCACAAUGGGCGAGAGCCUGAAGGAGCAACGCCGCGUGGGUGAUGAAUGUCUUCGGAUCGUAAAACCUUGUUGUUAGAGAAGUAAGUGCGUGAGAGUAACUGUUCACGUUUCGACGGUAUCUAACCAGAAAGCCACGGCUAACUACGUGCCAGCAGCCGCGGUAAUACGUAGGUGGCAUGCGUUAUCCGGAUUUAUUGGGCGUAAAGGGAACGCGGGCGGUCUUUUAAGUCAGAUGUGAAAGCCUUCGGCUUAACCGGAGUAGUGCAUUGGAAACUGGGAGACUUGAGUGCAGAUGAGGAGAGUGGAACUCCAUGUGUAGCGGUGAAAUGCGUAGAUAUAUGGAAGAACACCAGUGGCGAAGGCGGCUCUCUGAUCUGUAACUGACGCUGAGGUUCGAAAGCGUGGGUAGCAAACAGGAUUAGAUACCCCUGUAGUC